GGCCGUUGCGUAGCCCUGCAAUGCUAAAUGCCUGGCAUGGGGUGUCGGGGGUCGGAGGUCGGAGGUUCGAAUCCUCUCAUGGCCA
rnacentral:tRNA from 1 species